UACAGAGGGGGCCAGCGUUAUUCGGAAUUAUUGGGCGUAAAGGGCGCGUAGGCGGCCACGCGUGUCUUUCGUGAAAUCCCUCGGCUUAACUGAGGACGUGCGGAAGAAACUGCGAGGCUUGAGUCCGGGAGAGGGGGGUGGAAUUCCCAGUGUAGCGGUGAAAUGCGUAGAUAUUAGGAGGAACACCGGUGGCGAAGGCGGCCCCCUGGACCGGUACUGACGCUAAAGCGCGAAAGCGUGGGUAGCAAACGGG
rnacentral:rRNA from 1 species